CCCUACGGGUUGUACACUGCUUUUCCAGGGGGAGAAACUUGCGCACGUGUUGCGCAAUUGACGGUACCCUGGGAAUAAGCAUCGGCUAACUCCGUGCCAGCAGCCGCGGUAAUACGGAGGAUGCGAGCGUUAUCCGGAUUCAUUGGGUUUAAAGGUUGCGUAGGCGGACUAUUAAGUCAGUGGUGAAAUCCUGCAGCUUAACUGCAGAACUGCCAUUGAUACUGAUAGCCUUGAGUUUGGUUAAGGUAGGCGGAAUGUGUAAUGUAGCGGUGAAAUGCUUAGAUAUAACACAGAACACCAAUUGCGUAGGCAGCUUACUGAGCCGACACUGACGCUGAGGCACGAAAGCGUGGGGAUCGAACA
rnacentral:rRNA from 1 species